rnacentral:rRNA from 1 species
GAUGAACGCUGGCGGCGUGCCUAAUACAUGCAAGUCGAGCGAACGGACGAGAAGCUUGCUUCUCUGAUGUUAGCGGCGGACGGGAGAGUAACACGUGGAUAACCUACCUAUAAGACUGGGAUAACUUCGGGAAACCGGAGCUAAUACCGGAUGAUAUUUUGAACCGCAUGGGUCAAAAGUGAAAGACGGUCUUGCUGUCACUAAUAGAUGGAUCCGCACUGCAUUAGCUAGUUGGUAAGGUAACCGCUGACCAAGGCAACGAUGCAUAGCCGCCCUGAGAGGGUGAUCGGCCACACUGGAACUGAGACACGGCCCAGACUCCUACGGGGGGCAGCAGUAGGGAAUCUUCCGCAAUGGGCGAAAGCCUGACGGAGCAACGCCGCGUGAGUGAUGAAGGUCUUCGGAUCGUAAAACUCUGUUAUUAGGGAAGAACAUAUGUGUAAGUAACUGUGCACAUCUUGACGGUACCUAAUCAGAAAGCCACGGCUAACUACGUG